UGGUAGCAUGGGCGAAGCCUGNUGCACGUUUCCCCGUGAGGGAUGACGGCCUUCGGCUUGUAAACCUCUUUCAGCAGGGAAGAAGCGAAAGUGACGGUACCUGCAGAAGAAGCGCCGGCUAACUACGUGCCAGCAGCCGCGGUAAUACGUAGGGCGCAAGCGUUGUCCGGAAUUAUUGGGCGUAAAGAGCUCGUAGGCGGCUUGUCGCGUCGGUUGUGAAAGCCCGGGGCUUAACCCCGGGUCUGCAGUCGAUACGGGCAGGCUAGAGUUCGGUAGGGGAGAUCGGAAUUCCUGGUGUAGCGGUGAAAUGCGCAGAUAUCAGGAGGAACACCGGUGGCGAAGGCGGAUCUCUGGGCCGAUACUGACGCUGAGGAGCGAAAGCGUGGGGAGCGAACAGGAUUAGAUACCCUGGUAGUCCACGCCGUAAACGGUGGGCACUAGGUGUGGGCAACAUUCCACGUUGUCCGUGCCGCAGCUAACGCAUUAAGUGCCCCGCCUGGGGAGUACGGCCGCAAGGCUAAAACUCAAAGGAAUUGACGGGGGCCCGCACAAGCGGCGGAGCAUGUGGCUUAAUUCGACGCAACGCGAAGAACCUUACCAAGGCUUGACAUACACCGGAAAGCAUCAGAGAUGGUGCCCCCCUUGUGGUC
rnacentral:rRNA from 1 species